CUGGCGGCGUGCUUAACACAUGCAAGUCGAACGCGAAAGGGACUUCGGUCCUGAGUAAAGUGGCGCACGGGUGAGUAACGCGUAGAUAACCUGUCUUCAUGUCUGGAAUAAUACGCCGAAAGGGGUACUAAUACCGGAUAUCUUGCUUUUCAUAAGUUAUGCAAGCAAAGGUGGCCUCUGCAUAUGCUACUGCAUGAAGAGGGGUCUGCGUACCAUUAGCUAGUAGGUGGGGUAAUGGCCUACCUAGGCGACGAUGGUUAGCGGGGUCUGAGAGGAUGGUCCGCCACACUGGCACUGGAACACGGGCCAGACUCCUACGGGAGGCAGCAGUGAGGAAUAUUGCGCAAUGGGGGAAACCCUGACGCAGCGACGCCGCGUGAGUGAAGGAAGGCCUUCGGGUCGUAAAGCUCUGUCAAGAGGAAAGAAGUGUACAAUGGCUAAUACCUGUUGUAUUUGACGGUACCUCUAAAGGAAGCACCGGCUAACUCCGUGCCAGCCGCAGC
rnacentral:rRNA from 1 species